UAUGCACCUAUGGAUAGAUUUUUAAGUAAUUAUUUAUCUAAAUAACUUCUAGUAAUUGAUUUUAUCUUAGGUUACUUUUCAGUCGGCUUUGGCCAUCUCUGCAAGUCCUAAUUAGGUCCAACAAUUAACAUGACAAAACUUAGUAUAUCAGACAAACAAAUGAUCAGGCCCAAGUGUGGCUCGAUCAAUCUGACCACCAUCGAAAAGAUACAUCUGAAUCAUCAUAUUAUGAAUGAUAAUUCUGAUAGUCAGAUGAGCAUCAGGCGUAUGGUGCCUUCAAUAUGUUGGGGU
rnacentral:lncRNA from 1 species